UACGUAGGGACCGAGCGUUGUCCGGAAUCAUUGGGCGUAAAGCGCGUGUAGGCGGUCCGGUAAGUCCGCUGUGAAAGUCGGGGGCUCAACCCUCGGAUGCCGGUGGAUACUGUCGGGCUUGAGUACGGAAGAGGCGAGUGGAAUUCCUGGUGUAGCGGUGAAAUGCGCAGAUAUCAAGAGGAACACCUGAGGCGAAGGCGGGUUGCUAGGCUGACACUGACGCUGAGGCGCGAAAGCUAGGGUAGCAAACGGG
rnacentral:rRNA from 1 species